GACGAACGCUGGCGGCGUGCUUAACACAUGCAAGUCGAACGGAGUGGCGAACGGGUGAUUAACACGUGUGUGAUCUGCCUUGCACUUCGGGAUAAGCUUGGGAAACUGGGUCUAAUACCGGAUAGUGCAAGAUGUGCUCGCGGCCUAUCAGUUUGUUGGUGGGGUAAGGGCCUACCAAGGCAUCGAGGGGUAGCUGGCCUGAGAGGGUGUACGGCCACAUUGGGACUGAGAUACAGGCCAGACUCCUACGGGAGGCAGCAGUGGGGAAUAAUGCACGAUGGGCGGAGGCCUGAAGCAGCGACGCCGGGUGGGGGAUGAAGGCCUUCGGGUUGUAAACUCCUUUCGACAGGGACGCGGUACCUGUAUAAGAAGCACCGGCUAACUACGUGCCAGCAGCCGCGGUAAUAC
rnacentral:rRNA from 1 species